UCUUAUGGAUGAGUAAAAAAAGUAGUUUCUUGAGAUGGAGUCUACUUCUGGUAAAGGUGCAGUGAA
rnacentral:pre_miRNA from 1 species